UUAACUGUAGGAGAAACCGGGUGAUGGGUAUACAGGAGCUCUCCGUACUAUUUUUGCAACUUUUCGUAAAUUUAAAAUUAUUCCAAAAUAAACAUUUUAUUAAAAAAUAAAUACAUAAAGCUGCUAGCAAACACCCGCCAUGGGCCACGGUGGCGUAACGGGUGCACAGCUAGCCCUCCUUACUCACGCAUCCGCUGACCGGGACGCAGCCUGUGAGGCCGCCGUUCUUGCGCAGUGGCCAGCAGGCAGCACGAGACCAUGAUCCCAGAAGAAGGGAAACCCGUGAGGUGAGCUCCACGGUCACCAGCUCUCAGCUUGGGGCCAAUCUCCCAGCCACAGACCAGAAAGUGGGGGCCCAAGCAGAACACCAUCUGCCCUCUGGGCUGGGGAGGCCGAGGCCAGGACGUGGAGCUGCCGAAGCGGCCGGGACCUGCAGGGCGGGAGAGGAGGCCUCCCCAGAACCUCCUCACUGCCCCGCGCAGGGCGGGUUUCUGAGCAAGUCUUCGACCGCAGUCUGGGCUGCACACGCUCAGGACAAGACCAUCUGAGGCUUUCCAGAGAGCUGCUGCCGUGGGUGGGGCGUGGAACGGAGAUCCCGGAGGACACGCUGGGGGAGAAGAGGAGGGACGGCAGAGAAGAGGGCGUGGCAGACCACUCAGGGCCUGGUGGGCAGAGAGGAGGCCUUGGCUUUUGCUGAGUGAGACGACAGGUACCAGGGGGUUGGGGCCUGCUAGCUGCUGAUGGAGAAGGGCCAAGUAGGGGUCACCGGCCAGGACGGACGCAGGAGCCCAUCAGGAGAUCCACAGUGGGGCUUGGGCAGGCCAGUGUGGGAGCCGGUGGACGGGAUAUGGGGUGGGAGGAAGGCAGAGGCCGUGGGGGCUCCAAGGUUCUGGGCCUCUCGACUUCUGAGACACUGACUUUGUCUCGCAGCAAGUACACCUCACUGCGAUAAUGAGGAAAAGCCAUGCAGACGUGUCUUUACGCAAGGGGAGAGAGCGCCCUGCUUGCUGAGAGCGAUGCUGGGGAGUGGGGAGCCCCGGUCUCCCCAGGUCCCCCUCCAGGUGAUCUACCCCCUCCCCCACCACACGUGGGGCCACCUGCUCAUUCUCGCUCUUUCUUCCCUCAGUGUGUGUCCUUCCGUCCCCCAGCCCCAACCAGAGGAGAGGGCAGCCAGCAGAGGGGCCGCGAGGGAGGAGGAGAGCCGGCAAGAAGGUCAAUGACAUCCUUGCUUUUGGAAAACUGGAUAAUGGCAGUGCCUGCCCUGGUCUGGAGCCGUGAGAAUCCACUGAGGUGGUGCCAGAGGGAUCGAGGGGCCAGCGAGCACAGGCUCGCCCUGCCGCCAGGAGCUCACAGUCUGACAGAUGGACAGAGGACACUGGGCCUGUCACAGGACACCGUGACGCAGUCUUGGAAGCUAGCGUGGGUUAAGCUGAGACCUAAAGGACCUCUGACGCAGUGCUCGAUUCCCCCACCUGCACAGUGAGGGCAGCGAUGACAUCCUCCCCAGAGGGGCAUGGAGAGAUCUGGCCACGUGCUCAGCAAACUGAGCUGCUGUCAUGAUUUCUGCUCGUCCUGCGAUCCUCCUUCCCACCCCGCAAAAGUAACACAUGCUCAUUAUGAAACGCAUCCAGACAGUACAGAAAGAAGAGAGGAAAGACAAUGAGAUCGUUUUUAAGCAGCCUCGAGUAAUUUGCAGCAGAGCGGGAAUGAGGAGGCCCCCCUUCAUAAGACUGGGGUGCUCCCACUGCCCCAGCCCCACCGGGGUUCCCUUCCCUCCCCCACUCGCAUGCUACCCACCCCUGGACGCCAGCUCAGGUUCUCACCCCCACAGAGGCGUCCUUGGCAUCCUGUAGCCCAGAGCCCUCUUCCCUUCCACUGAUCUGAAUUCUCUUCAUUUCAACAAACAUUUAUUGAGCAUCUACUUUGGGCCAAGACAAAGGAUCUGGCCAUCUGAACUCAUCCCCUGCUGUCUGCAUUUAAUUGAUCUUUUGUUAUUUUUCUGCCUUGUGUCUAGACUCCUUCUCCCAGCCUGGGCUAUGGGGUCCUUAAGGGUAGACCCAUGCCUUCUGUUUGUUCCUACCCCCAACCCCAGCAACUAUUGUUCUCCAGAGGGACUUCCUGCAGGGAGGGAGCUGCUGUGGAUUGCAUGCGCGGGACACCGUGCCAAGGCCUUGGCGAGCAUGAUCUUGUCCAGUCCUCACAUCGACCGUGGGAGGUGGGUGUUGUUAUUACCCGACCUGCAGAUGUGGAAGCUGAGUGCAGAAGAGCUUGCCCAAGGAACCAUGGGGGACGAAUUGAGAGCCAGGAUUUGAACCCGUGUCGUCAAGGCCCGAGCUCCGAGCUCCUACGUGGGUUUUCUUCCUUGCACGACUCAGUGAUGGUACACGGCAGGGGAUAAAUGCUCUCAGCAAGGUGUGCCCAGGACAGGAAGAAUAGUGCCAGCACCCUGAGGACCUGAAGGAGAUGCUGCUUGAGCACGUUGCGAAGGAUGCACAGGAAUGGUCCAAUGGAAGCAGAAAGCGCCGGAGAGGAGGGAACCGCCAGUGAGUCGGGCCAAAGUUGUGAGUCAGUGAGGGCGGGAGAACCGGGGGCUCUCAUGAGUGGCAGGUACAGGGGUAGGUGGGACAGGGCUGGGCAGUAAGGAGGUGGGGUGAUCAGCUGGCUGCACCGUGGCGCGCCUUACACACGCUGUUCGCUGUUCAGGCAUUUGGACUUUAGCUUUAAACCAGUGGUUCAAACUGAGGUCCCUGGAAUUCCCGGGGUUCCCCAGAGGUGCCUUGGCAACCUGGGGGAAGGCGAACCAGAGGAAGGUGGCAGCACAUGGGGCUGCGCCCAGCCCCCAGCCCUGGUCUCAGGGGAGCUGCACUUUCAUUGGUUGUUUGUUUAGAUUUUGGGGUAAGAUUUCAUUUGAAGGACUCCGCAGCAGACGUGUUUGAAACCGCUCCUGCAGGCUGGAGGAAGUUUUCAGCCAGAAGAGACAUGAUCAGAGUUUUACGAUUUGAUUGCUUCCUUCUUCAAAAACCUUCUCUGAGCCCCACCCUUUGCGCUCCUGGCUCGGGCUCCAGGGAGGGUGUGUUCAGUGGUUUCUGCCUCAGGGCCCAGGGCCGGGAUCCCAGCUCUGCUUGUGACUUGCUGGGUGACAUUGCACAGGUUUCCCCCUCUGGGUCUCGGGAUUCUGGCCCUAGGCCUUGGACUCAACCCGGCCCGUGGCCACCGACCAGACAUAAUCUUGCCCUAGUCAGUUCUCUCAAGGGCAGACAUUGGCCGUCCAGGGCAGGGCCUCCCAGCUCAGAGGAAG